GAUCAAGCUACAAAGGGCGCAUGGUGAAUGCCUUGGCACCAGUAGCCGAUGAAGGACGUGAUAAGCUCAGAUAAGCUCUGAGUAGGCGCAAAUAGCCAGUGAUCCAGAGAUUUCCGAAUGGGGAAACCCACAUACUUAACGGUAUGUACCAUAAAUUGAAUUCAUAGAUUUAUGGAGGGAUACCCGGGGAACUGAAACAUCUAAGUACCCGGAGGAAGAGAAAGAAAAAUCGAUUUUCUAAGUAGCGGCGAGCGAAAGGGAAAGAGCCCAAACCAGAAACUUGUUUCUGGGGUUGCGGAUAGACCAUAAUAAAAGUAGGACUUAGUUGAAGAGAGCUGGAAGGCUCCGCCGUAGAAGGUAAAAGCCCUGUAAACGAAAAGGAAAGCUUUAAGGUCUAAUCCAGAGUACCACGAGACACGUGAAACCUUGUGGGAAGCAGGGAGGACCACCUCCCAAGGCUAAAUACUAACUGGUGACCGAUAGUGGAGUAGUACCGUGAGGGAAAGGUGAAAAGAACCCCGGGAGGGGAGUGAAAUAGAACCUGAAACCGUGUGCCUACAACCGGUCGAAGCACAUUAACGUGUGACGACGUGCUUUUUGUAGAACGAGCCAGCGAGUUACGGUAUGUAGCAAGGUUAAGCACUUAAGGUGCGGAGCCGAAGGGAAACCGAGUCUGAAUAGGGCGACUAGUUGCAUGCCGUAGACCCGAAACCGGGGGACCUAUCCAUGGACAGGUUGAAGCGGAAGUAAAAUUCCGUGGAGGACCGAACCACAUUGGUGUUGAAAAACCAUGGGAUGAGCUGUGGAUAGCGGAGAAAUUCCAAUCGAACUCGGAGAUAGCUGGUUCUCCUCGAAAUAGCUUUAGGGCUAGCGUCUGGAAAUUGAGUAAUGGAGGUAGAGCACUGAAUGGGCUAGGGGCUGACAACAGUUACUGAACCCUAUCAAACUCCGAAUGCCAUAUACUUUUAUCCAGGCAGUCAGACUACGAAUGAUAAGAUCCGUGGUCAAAAGGGAAACAGCCCAGACCAUCAGCUAAGGUCCCUAAGUGUAAGUUAAGUGGAAAAGGAUGUGGGAUUUCUAAGACAACUAGGAUGUUGGCUUAGAAGCAGCCACUCAUUUAAAGAGUGCGUAAUAGCUCACUAGUCAAGAGAUCCUGCGCCGAAGAUGUCCGGGGCUCAAACUUACCACCGAAGCUAUGGAUGUGCACUACGUGCACGUGGUAGAGGAGCUUCCUGUAUGGGUUGAAGUCGUACCGAAAGGAACGGUGGACUGUACAGGAGUGAGUAUGCUGGCAUAAGUAGCGAGAAAUAAGUGAGAAUCUUAUUGGUCGAAAACCUAAGGUUUCCUGAGGAAGGUUCGUCCGCUCAGGGUUAGUCGGGACCUAAGCCGAGGCCGAAAGGCGUAGGUGAUGGACAAUCGGUUGAUAUUCCGAUACCGCCAACUUGCGUUUGACAAAUGGGGUGACACAGAAGGAUAAGGUGUGCGCACUAUUGGAUGUGCGUCUAAGCAUUUAGGAGUGACUGGCAGGCAAAUCCGCCAGUUGAAUCUGAGGUGUUACGGGGAGCUAAUUUUUAGCGAAGUACCUGAUUCCACACUGUCAAGAAAAGCCUCUAUGGAGUAAGUUGGUGCCCGUACCGCAAACCGACACAGGUAGGUGA
rnacentral:ncRNA from 1 species